UACAGAGGUCCCAAGCGUUGUUCGGAUUCACUGGGCGUAAAGGGUGCGUAGGCGGCGCGGUAAGUCGGGCGUGAAAUCUCGGAGCUUAACUCCGAAACUGCAUUCGAUACUGCCGUGCUUGAGGACUGGAGAGGAGACUGGAAUUUACGGUGUAGCGGUGAAAUGCGUAGAUAUCGUAAGGAAGACCAGUGGCGAAGGCGGGUCUCUGGACAGUUCCUGACACUGAGACACGAAGGCCAGGGGAGCAAACGGG
rnacentral:rRNA from 1 species